rnacentral:rRNA from 1 species
AAAACGUUCUGAGUUGAGGCGCGAGUCCGACCCGCUACGGCGGGGAAGUGAUGGCCAUCAUGCUUCCUAGAAAAGCUCUAAACAUCAUAAACUAAUCAUGCCUGUACCCGAAACCGACACAGGUAGGGUGGUAGAGCAUACCGAGGGGCGCGAGAUAACUCUCUCUAAGGAACUCGGCAAAAUUGCCCCGUAACUUGGGAAGAAGGGGUGCCAGCCGCCGGGCUGGUCGCAGUGAAGAGGCCCAGGCGACUGUUUACCAAAAACACAGGUCUCCGCUAAGGAGCAAUCCGAUGUAUGGGGGCUGACGCCUGCCCAGUGCCGGAAGGUUAAGGAAGCUGGUCAGCGCAAGUGAAGCUGGCGACCGAAGCCCCGGUGAACGGCGGCCGUAACUAUAACGGUCCUAAGGUAGCGAAAUUCCUUGUCGGGUAAGUUCCGACCCGCACGAAAGGCGUAACGAUCUGGGCGCUGUCUCAGAGAGAGACUCGGCGAAAUAGGAAUGUCUGUGAAGAUACGGACUACCUGCACCUGGACAGAAAGACCCUAUGAAGCUUUACUGUAGCCUGGAAUUGGCUUCGGGUUCUGCCUGCGCAGCAUAGGUGGGAGGCAGAGAAGAUUUCCUUGCGGGGAAAUCAGAGCCGGCGGUGAGAUACCACUCUGGCAGAGCUAGAAUUCU